AGAGCGGCGUACGGGUGCGGAACACGUGUGCAACCUGCCUUUAUCUGGGGGAUAGCCUUUCGAAAGGAAGAUUAAUACCCCAUAAUAUGUUGAAUGGCAUCAUUCGACAUUGAAAACUCCGGUGGAUAGAGAUGGGCACGCGCAAGAUUAGAUAGUUGGUGAGGUAACGGCUCACCAAGUCUACGAUCUUUAGGGGGCCUGAGAGGGUGAUCCCCCACACUGGUACUGAGACACGGACCAGACUCCUACGGGAGGCAGCAGUGAGGAAUAUUGGACAAUGGGUGAGAGCCUGAUCCAGCCAUCCCGCGUGAAGGACGACUGCCCUAUGGGUUGUAAACUUCUUUUGUAUAGGGAUAAACCUACCCUCGUGAGGGUAGCUGAAGGUACUAUACGAAUAAGCACCGGCUAACUCCGUGCCAGCAGCCGCGGUAAUACGGAGGGUGCAAGCGUUAUCCGGAUUUAUUGGGUUUAAAGGGUCCGUAGCGGAUCUGUAAGUCAGUGGUGAAAUCUCACAGCUUAACUGUGAAACUGCCAUUGAUACUGCAGGUCUUGAGUGUUGUUGAAGUAGCUGGAAUAAGUAGUGUAGCGGUGAAAUGCAUA
rnacentral:rRNA from 1 species